CCUACGGGCGGCAGCAGUAGGGAAUAUUGCUCAAUGGGGGAAACCCUGACGCAGCAACGCCGCGUGGAGGAUGAAGGUUUUCGGAUUGUAAACUUCUUUUGUUAGAGAAGAUAAUGACGGUAUCUAACGAAUAAUCACCGGCUAACUACGUGCCAGCAGCCGCGGUAAUACGGAGGGUGCAAGCGUUAUUCGGAAUCACUGGGCGUAAAGAGCGCGUAGGCGGGAUAGCAAGUCAGAUGUGAAAUCCUAUGGCUUAACCAUAGAACUGCAUUUGAAACUGUUAUUCUAGAGUAUGGGAGAGGUAGGUGGAAUUCUGGGUGUAGGGGUGAAAUGCGUAGAGAUCAAGAGGAACACUCAUUGCGAAGGCGACCUGCUAGAACGUAACUGACGCUGAUGCGCGAAAGCGUGGGGAGCAAACAGGAUUAGAUACCCCGGUAGUC
rnacentral:rRNA from 1 species